UUAUUAUAAUUUGAUUUCAGUUGAAAAUAAAAAAUCUGCCCCUAUCAAAAUUAAAAAACAACCAACAUACCCGAACGACCUCCUAAUUUUGAAUUGUAAUUGGCCAGAAGGUCCUAUGAGCCAAGUGUUUAAAAAAAGGUUUACUCUUAGAGUUACAUUACAAUUCCAAAAGCAAGUGUAUUCCGAAAUGACUUUGCCAAACGUGGAGUUCAGCGUGGAGUCCGUUCAAAUUUGGGGUUAUACUAAUAUAAGCCAAGAACCUGAUAUCUGGUACUAUGCCGUAUGGAACGAUGCUCUCCAACGUUCCACAGAACCAACCGUUCCACAGAAUGUUCCACAGAAUGUUCGUUGGGAGUAUUUAAAGGAAUCUAUAAACUCCUUAUGUUUUUUAUUUACUGGAAAAAAGUUGACCGAUGAACACCUGAAUUAUAUAUGUGACAUUUUGACCGAAGCAAAUGCAUUGGAUCAAAAUGGCAUGUUGGUCAACACACGAAAUUUGUAUCAAAUAAACAAAACAUUAUUUGAAACCAAAUUCAAGUGGAUCUUUGAGAGUUUGAAAAUAUUAAGAGAUUAUCUCCGUGAACCAUAGAAAGCAGGCCACAUCAGUUUCAUCCCACUUCCUAGAGCUAAACAUUUACUUUCGCGUUUUGCAGGUCCGGAGAUAGAAAACAUAUUUCUAAUAACGUUCCCCUAUAUUCACGACUCGUUAGGAACCAUAGCGGUUAUGCAGUUGAAAAUAACGGACAAUGGAAGAGAAAUCUCAGAACAUUUGAUUCUCGAAGAAAACUUCAAAUAUCGAAACAGGCCAAAAUUUCCUUUUUCUAUUAGUGACAUUAUUUGCCGUCAAUUUGGUGUGACCUUUGGAGAAACAUUUGGCUAUCUUUAUAAGUCUAAUACGCACGCUAUUCCAAUGGAAGAGGCAUUCCCAUAUACAAUUGAAUGCGAUAGACCUUAUACAAAUAAAGUGAUACCGAAAAUACCCACGAGUUUGGUCAGGUCAAUUCUCAUCGAUCCUAACGAGAUGAUAAUUGGAGAUUGUGCUCCUUAUAACAAUGAUGAGGAGAAUAACGAUAACUGGUGGUCUUGGCUUAAUAAUAUACUAACACAAAUGUUUUACCUGGGGAUUUUUCUAGUGCUAUUGUUUAUGAUAGUUUGUGCAUAUUGUAAUAGCGGUAUAUAGUCGGCUAUACAAGCAUAUUUUUAUUUUAUUGUUUUGGUUAGAAAAUUGAAGUAAACUAAACUAUAUA